rnacentral:rRNA from 1 species
UACGUAGGGGGCAAGCGUUGUCCGGAUUUAUUGGGCGUAAAGAGCGUGUAGGCGGCCUGACAGGUCUGCUGUGAAAACUCGAGGCUCAACCUCGAGAUGUCGGCGGAAACCGUCUGGCUAGAGUCCGGAAGAGGAGAGUGGAAUUCCUGGUGUAGCGGUGAAAUGCGUAGAUAUCAGGAGUAACACCGGUGGCGAAGGCGGCUCUCUGGACGGUGACUGACGCUGAGACGCGAAAGCGUGGGGAGCAAACAGG